GUUAGGAAUAUUGGACAAUGGGCGCAAGCCUGAUCCAGCCAUGCCGCGUGAACGAUGAAGGCCUUCGGGUUGUAAAGUUCUUUAGCCGAUGAUUAUAAUGACUGUAGUCGGAAAAUAAGCCCCGGCUAACUUCGUGCCAGCAGCCGCGGUAAUACGAAGGGGGCGAGCGUUAUUCGGAAUCACUGGGCGUAAAGCGUGCGUAGGCGGUUUUGUAAGUUAGGAGUGAAAGCCCAGGGCUCAACCUUGGAAUUGCUCUUAAAACUGCAAGGCUCGAAUCUCGGAGAGGAUAGCGGAAUUUCCAGUGUAGCAGUGAAAUGCGUAGAUAUUGGAAGGAACACCAGUGGCGUAAGCGGCUAUCUGGACGAGUAUUGACGCUGAGGCACGAAAGCGUGGGGAUCAAACAGGAUUAGAAACCCCGGUAGUCC
rnacentral:rRNA from 1 species